rnacentral:ribozyme from 1 species
GUAAUUUUGCGCUCUGCAAUGGGAUGGGAUCCGAAGCCUCCCGAGGGAUAAUACUGGCUCUCUCAUCCAACUCUUAUUCCGACUCGUCCUCUUCGUGCAGAGGAGUAUCAUGUGUCACCACAUAUCCAAGCUUGGGUACACAGGUUUGACCCAACCCCGUACGCGGAUGGUGGCAUAUGGCGAUCCAGGUGGGA